rnacentral:lncRNA from 1 species
CCCCUGAGCUGAGGUAUUCGCAUUGUGAGUACCUUGUGCGACUGUCACACAGAGGUACGUUCUGCCUUUUGGGAGCUUUCAUAUAGGACUCUCGAACUGGUGGCUUGUGAGAAGUGUGGUGUUUUUACACUCCCGUAAUGGGGCGGGAAAGUCCCCGCCCAACUUGAAUGGCUGACUUAAGGCGCGCGUCUCCGAAUUCGCUGAGGCAUCGGCUCGAAAAUGCAGCUGAAAUGAGGUGGCGCUCUGCAGCGUCAUGUCUUCCCUCGACAAGGACAAAGCAGCCUUUGUCAGACUCUCGUCGCCGCUUCAGAGCAAUCUGCAGGAAACAUUCUCACAAAACAAAUGCUGCUGCAUGGAGACAGCUACC